UUCACCAGAAGCAAACCUACAGGAUGUAAAGGGCGGAGUGCAUGGCUGAGAAACUGGGCUGUUGACAGGUUGAACACCAUGCCAGGCAGCCUCCAUUAAUGACAACUUGUUGGGGUUCCUCAUCUCCAGGGCAGCAGUAGCCAGGGCUGACAGACAGCCAGGUGGUAUAGUAGGCAGUGAAUCAGUGCACAUUGGAUCUGAUCCUGUUAUCCCGGAUCCAUGGGAUACUCCUGAGUAUCUUUCAACAUUCCCCAAAUGUGGAAAGCCAGUUUAAGGCCAAAAAAUUGCUAUACUGAAAGUAGAUGCUGCUGGAUCCUACUGCUACAGGCUGUUUCAAAGAAGUUGCUGCAAACACUUUAGAAGUGGUCAUUUCUUGGCCAUUUCUACCCUUCUCAUCUCACAGUCUUUCGGAAAUACUGCUGGUACCAGGGAAACACGGUAGGAGAUUUGGAGGUCUUUCAUUCAUGGGACCACCAUACGUUGGAGUCAGCCUGAUGGCAGCUAACAACAACAAUGACCAAAGUCAGAAUGCCUGGUGCUUUUUUUUUUAGAUAGUAGCCAUCAUGGUUAAGCACUGAUCUUGUAGUCAUCAAUCACCUGAUAAUCACCUGAUAAUAGUCAUCCCAGGUGACAGUCGCAUUGAUGAAAAACAACAGGAAAAACUCAACCGCUAUCAGGACCUCAAGACUGAACUUCAAAGACUCUGGCAGAAACCAGUGCACGUGGUCCCGGUGGUGAUGGGCACACUGGGUGCCGUGCCAAAAGAUCUCAGCCGGCAUUUGGAAACUAUAGACAUUGACAAAAUUAUUAUCUGCUAACUGCAAAAGGCCACCCUGCUGGGAUCUGCACGCAUCAUCCGAAAAUACAUGAGACAGUCCUAGACACUUGGGAAGUGUUCGACUUGUGGUUUUGUGAAACGAAAUCCAGCAUAUCUAUCUUGUUUGCUGUGUCAUACAACGUCGUUGUGUCAAUAAUAAUAAUAAUCAUUAUUAUUAUUUUAUUCUUGUACCCCGCUUCUAUCUCCCCACAGGGACUCAGGGCGGCUUACAAAUGCAAAACAAGUAUACAUACAUAGAACAUCAAAUACCGAAAACGCAUGAAUGAAAGAUUAAAACCUAUGAUUAAAAUCAAACCAUUAAUAAGACAAAGUUAAAACGCAGCAAUAAAAUGGGCUGAUCAAAGUGCACUAAGUGGGACUUGUAAACAUGGAGGAAGUUAAAAGUGCUAUAAGAACAUGGGGGAGAACCCAAAAGUGAGUUGAACCCUGAGGCUAUGUAGAGAAAUUACCCAUGCGGAUGCAACCGAUCAAGGAUAACCAUUUGUACAAGAAUUUAACAUUCCAGCCUGUGUGAACAGCCAAGUUUUCAGGCUUUUCCUAAACCCUUCCAAGGAAACAGCUAGCCGAAUUCCCUUGGGAGUGCGUUCCAGUGCCGAGGGGCCACCACAGAGAAGAAGCACCUUGACUUAUUACAGCAGGGCAAGGGAAAUAUUUUUCUAUCAAGGGCCAUGGAUAUGUGGGCCCAUUUUACAGCAGAAUUUGGAUAGGGUCCAUGAUCAAAGUGGGCGGAGUUGUUGGGAAGUCAAUGUAGUCUCUCUUUCCAACCUCUCCACUUCGUUUAUUCUCUACAAGCCAGUCCCUGAGUCCCAGGCCUGUAGCGAGGGGGUGGUUUUAGGGGUUCAAACCCCCCCCCCCCCCGAAAUUUUUCAGGUUAUAAAAAAACCCUGGUUUACUCAUGAAUUUUAACUGGUUAACCAAAUCCCCAUGCUAAGUCUAUGAGACACAAAACAUUAAGAGUCCCUCCAGGCACUAUCUCAAGCAGAUAUUGACAGGUGUGUAGCGGGGAGGGGUGUGUGUUAGGGGUUAACCCCCCCCCCCCGAAAUUUUCAAAACCCCUCCCGAAAUUUUUUUCUGGCUACAGCCCUGCUGAUAUUUAUUUGUUCCAACAUUAGACAAAACAGAGGAAUGAACAGCUACUGGCAAACCGUGUCUUCAAUUGGGUAUCACCAUAGAAAUAUAGUCAAACAUAUUUAUUUCAGUGGGGAGGGAGAGGAGGAAGCAGCAACAGAAGAUUCAAUCAUCUCAGAAAUAAAAUACAGAUAAAGAAAGGGUUGCGGUCAGUCCAUUUGCCCCACUAAAGAAGGAAAGCUUUUUAAAAAGCCUGAAUAGCACCAAGAAUUUUCACACAACUUUAUCUUGUCAGCCUGUAGUGCCACAAUGUUUCCUCUCCCUCCCCUUCAAUUCUUUUAAUGACUUAUCCAGAGAAUCCCUGCACUGCUGACCCAGGGGCAUUGUUUUUGGAAACUCAACUAAUCUCUCAAAAUUGUUCAUAUUGCUCUGUUCAGCUAAAAAUCCUAAAUAUUAUCUUCCAUAGAUCAGGCAAGAAUGUUGUUCAUCUCUGGGCUGUGAGUUGGCUCAGUUCAAGCCCUGCUUCGGAAAAAUACCUUCCACAUACUAUUUUCAGUUCUAAAUUAAAGGGGAGGGGAGGGUGAGUGAAUUUGAGGCAAAUGGAAAUAAAAUUUUACUUUAUACUUCACACAGUAAAUCAUCUUUCAUAGAAAGCACACUUUACAUGAAAGUAUACACCUAGUACAUUCCUCCGAAAUGAGCCCAUUCUUUGUGAAAAUGGGGGGGGGGGUUCCCCCAUUCAGAGUUCUUAUUUGGACAACGUGACUUAAUUUUUAUUUGAAGAUUUUUUAUAAGAAAAAACUGUUGGAUGCUACUUUUGUUUUUUCACCGUCCUGCACUAAUUCAUUUUGAAGUUCCAAAUAUGAUAAGGAUCCUAGGAAAAAUGAAUAACGCUGGAUUUCAGCUCUCAUUAAGUUACAAUCAUAAUGUAAAAUACAAUUAAUUACACAUAAGCAGCUGUUUCUAACUAGUUACUACCAAACUCUACAAAUUAUAUGUCUCAUUUUUGGGAAGAAGAAAAUUGCAGAGAAUAGGUAAACAUUGGAUUAUGUGGUGGUUUGAGCCACCAAAGCAAUUCUUGUAAAAAAAGCAAGAUUAAAAGGCAGUGAAAGGGAAGAAAAGUGACUCACUUUGUCGGCUAGAGAAAAAUAAGCCUGAUCUCAUUAUAUAACAGUUCAACUAUAUGCUAUUAAAUAAGAUAUACAUAUUUUAAUAAAUAAAUUAAUUAUAUUUCAAUGUUUUCAACUAUAGCUAUGUGACCACAGAUUCCAAAUUCUAUUCUAACUUAGGGAAGAGGUGGCCUCUUGCAGAAGAUGGUAUACAGAUUUGGAUGUGAAUAAAAACUAAAUGUUUUGGGCCUGAUUUCAUGGGAUGAGAAUUCAGUGACUGUGUGUCACACAUAUAUAGUAGAGUCUCGCUUAUCCAACCUUCGCUUUAUCCAACGUUCUGUAUUAUCCAAUGCAGUCUGCCUUUUAGUAGUCAAUGUUUUUGUAGUCAAUGUUUUCAAUACAUUGCGAUUCUUUGGUGCUAAAUUCGUAAACGCAGUAAUGACUACAUAACAUUGCCAUGUAUUGAACUGCUUUUUCUGUCGAUUUGUUAUAAAACAUUAUGUUUUGGUGCUUAAUUUUUAAAUUAAUUAGACAUUUAAUAAUCCCCUGUUAUCCAACAUUUUUGCUUAUCCAACGUUCUGCUGGCUCGUUUAUGUUGGAUAAGUGAACUCUACUGUAUAUAUAUGCAUAGACUUGCAUGAAGGUUUUGGACAUUGUUGGGACCCUGCAAAUAGUGAACAUAUUUGAAAUAUUAUGUGCUAUAUUUAAGACUAGAUAAAUCUGUUUGUGUUUUCUUUCUUUUUCUCAGUUUUAUAAUCUGAUUCACCACAAACUGGAUUUAUGUUUGUACAGAAAAGCCUCAGAAUGUAUGAAAAUUCAUAUACAUUUGCAUAUGCAGUUCUCUUAAUGCAUGCAUUUUAAAAUAGCUUUACUUGGCAUACAAAUUAUUAAGCAAUCUUAAUCUAUUAGACAUCUAUUAUUGUGUCAUUUGCUCUGGCUUUCCUUCUAUAUGCCUGCUGGUUCUUUUUAUACACACAUUUUGUUUUACACAUUUUUCAAAGAUUGGAGAACACCACUGCAAAAGCCAGAGGUGUGAAUUUCUAAGGAUAACUGAGGACUGGUUCACUUAUUGUUUUAAAAGUGUGAAAUUAGGCUGGUUCAGAUUAAAAGGAAAAUUACACAUAUUUUUCUCCCUUUCCUAACCACCUCCCCCUCUUUUUUCAAAAAAUGCACUUCUGUGAUCUUUAGGUAGUUUGUUUAUUUAUAUCCUGCUUUUCCCCAGCACGUUGUGUCUGUAGCAGCUCGCGAUAAUAAACAUUACUUGUCAAAUUACAUGCCAUUCGUGGGGUGUCCAGAAGAGCAAAAAGUCAUUUUACAAAGAAUAAAUUACACAAAAUGAGAGGAAUCCAGCAAGCAUACAUCCAAUUCAAUACCACAGUUAAAGUUGUCAAGAUUUAGUACAGAAACACCAAGAGCAGGUAACAGAACAAAUAUUGAUACCAAAAGUCUUGUGUGUCCUCUGAUCCCCCGACCCCCAACCUAUCUGUGGUUCCCUGAUGUGAAUCGAUCAUGCUGUUUGGCCUCAUAAGGGCUUUAACCUGAAGAAUGUAUGCAUAGUCUAGGGCUCCUUCUCACUUUUCACAAUUUAACCUUGUCUCUGUUGGAAAAGUCUCCGGUUUACAUCAAACUGUUAAUCCCAGCUGGAGCAGAUAGCCUGAACCAAUUGGAACAUGGUAAAUUAUCACUUAGGUAAAUUCCAUUGAUUCGAUGAAUCUCCUCUCCUUGGGAUUACCAAAUGGAGUUAACACACCUGGCAACAUUUCACAUUUCAGCAUUUCACAGAUGAAAACCAGAACAUGUGUGGCCAAAGAACACAACUGGGUGCAUCUACAGUAGAAUGAAGGCAGUUUGACACCAACUGCCGUAAUUCAAUGAUAUGGAAUCCUUCUAGUUGUAGUUUUACAAGGUCUUAACCUUUUCUGCCAAAGGGUGCUGGUUCCUCUCCAAACUACAAAUACCAAGAUUUCAGAGCACCGAUUCAUGGCAGUUAAAGUAGUAUCGAACAGCAUUAAUUCUACAUUGUAGCUGCAGCCUGUGUCUACAGGGAAUGACAUGAUUCUUCCCUUCCUCUCCUUUCUUUGUGCUAGGUGCAUAUAUUCAUGUAUAAGUCUAGUUAUUUUAGUGAAAAACCAUCCCCCCAAAACUGGAUCAACUUAUCCACAGGACAAUGUAAUUACUCUAUCUUAAUACUUAUUGGAAAAGGAACUACAGUAGAGUCUCACUUAUCCAACGUUCUGGAUUAUCCAACACAUUUUUGUAGUCAAUGUUUUCAAUACAUUGUGAUAUUUUGGUGCUAAAUUCGUAAUUACAGUAAUUACUACAUAGCAUUACUGCGUAUUGAACUACUUUUUCUGUCAAAUUUGUUGUAUAGCAUGAUGUUUUGGUGCUUGAUUUGUAAAAUCAUAACCUAAUUUGAUGUUUAA